AUUGAACGCUGGCGGCAUGCCUUACACAUGCAAGUCGAACGGCAGCACGGGAGCAAUCCUGGUGGCGAGUGGCGAACGGGUGAGUAAUAUAUCGGAACGUGCCCAGUCGUGGGGGAUAACGUAGCGAAAGCUACGCUAAUACCGCAUACGAUCUAUGGAUGAAAGCGGGGGAUCGCAAGACCUCGCGCGAUUGGAGCGGCCGAUAUCAGAUUAGGUAGUUGGUGAGGUAAAGGCUCACCAAGCCGACGAUCUGUAGCUGGUCUGAGAGGACGACCAGCCACACUGGGACUGAGACACGGCCCAGACUCCUACGGGAGGCAGCAGUGGGGAAUUUUGGACAAUGGGCGCAAGCCUGAUCCAGCAAUGCCGCGUGCAGGAUGAAGGCCUUCAGGUUGUAAACUGCUUUGUACGGAACGAAACGGUGAGCUCUAAUACAGUUUGCUAAUGACGGUACCGUAAGAAUAAGCACCGGCUAACUACGUG
rnacentral:rRNA from 1 species